UAUGCAUUUUUUUUUUUUAAUGCUCAAAAGAAUCAUGAGUUUGGCCUUUUCUCCAUGCUAUAGUGGAGAAAACCAAGUCCAGAGAAUGUGGCUGACGUCGUCAGCAUCACACCAUUUGUAAGGAGUGGAACAGGGUCUUGAAUCAAGUCAGCCUGACUCGGAAGCCUGUGGCAUUUCUACCUCCCCAUGUGGCGUGAGGCAUGAUCAUUUACUCUCCACCAGGACCUUGCCAUGGGCCGGAGGCACCAAGAUAGGGUGUCUGUGAUGAGCUGGAGUGUACAGGUGGAGAAGACGUAAGGGAGACUUCUCUGAAGAAGGGAAGGCCUUCCUACUGGUUCCUACUGUCUCCCCUCCCUGUUCACCAACUGCUGUUAUCUCCUGGGCAUUCACAGCCACUAAGUCUGACCAGGCCACAUCCCUGACACCCCCUUUGUUGACUGUCCAUUCCCUGCUCCCUCCAAGACCACGUCUGACUCUGCAGGCUCAUGAGCCUCAAAGCUGUAGUCCUACUGAGUUUUUGUCCGCCUCUGAAAGUGACCUGCUCUCUCUGGCUCACCGUGCUAUGCUCAGUUUUCCCUCUGACUAGGGUACCCACCCCCUUCUUUGCCUGGAACACACCUCCUUGUCCCAGAAGACUCAACAGCUCUGGCCACCCCUCAAUCCCACCAGUGCGGGCUGUGUAUACCUCCUCUACCUUCUCGAGAGUACCGUCCAUGGCUUACCUCUGUCAUAACACUUCCCGGGCUCUGAUGACAUCUCUUUGUCACCGCCAGCACAAUGUUUCCCUCCCAGAUGGAUGGACCGUUCCCAGAGGCCUCUGGCUUCCCUCUUGCCUGCCUAAACGUGGCUGUCUUUGGCUCUGAGGCACUGUCACAUGACACAAAGGAGCACAGGUUACGGUGAGGAGCCGACCUUCAUCUGAGGAGGACUGGGGCUGUGCAGACCCUGGGUCUCUUGGCUUCCCUCCUUUAUAUCAAGCAGUCCUUCCUGAACCUCAAAGAGGAGGCGACAUCAGCCAUGGCAUCUCCAGAAGAUACAUUCCACGGCUGCGUAAAGAAGGGUUCUGAGGAUUAGGAUCAGAAAAUACAAGGAAGUUUGGUUACUUUUUCCCUUGGUGGAUGUUUUAGAAGUUUCUCCUGUACUUUCCUCGAUUUACAAAUUCAUUCCUCAAAGGCUGUGCUGGUUGUCAACCCUUUCCCACCCCAGCACCCUUGAGUGGCCCGCUUCCCAUCAGUACCCACCUCUGAGGAUGCCAGGGAACCUCUGGCUGGGGUGUAAUUAUCUCCAAGGGCACUGUUAGCUUGAUAAGGAGGAGCUUCUUCAUGCUCCUCAGAGGGAAAGCAUUUAAGAGUGUGUUUCCAAGGUUCAGCUGCUCCUCUAAUAACAAUAAUAAUUACCUUAAUGUUCUUCAAUAGGGGAUUAGUUAAACAAAUUAUGGUACAUCCAUGGUACAUGAUGCAGCCAUUAAAUUAAAUGAAGCAGAACAAUACACUGUACCUGUUUCUCCCGCAAUCCGAAGGUAGACCUUUCCUAUGAAACCUGAAACGAUGACAUUCAGUGAAGAAGCAAUUACCAUUCAUUUGUCCAAGACACCCCCGCCCCGCCCCAAAUAACCUUUUUAAGGCUAUUCUGAUACCUUAGGACACAUCUUGCUCACGGAUGCACGAAAUAAAUGAAAGCUACAGACGUUUGAGGUGGAGACA
rnacentral:lncRNA from 1 species